CCGUAGGAAAGGUUGGUGCAGUCGGUCCGUUUUUGGUUGGUGGAUCGAUCCGUCUGGUUAAUUCCGUUAACGAACGAGACCUCGGCACUCCGAAUAGCGCGGCGGACGUCGCGGCCUCCGGGCCGUCUUCCGCACGAGCUUCUUAGAGGGACCGUCCCCCCGCCGGGGAAGGAGGUGCGAGGCAACGACAGGUCUGUGAUGCCCUUAGAUGUUCUGGGCCGCACGCGCAUUACACUGACGCGUCCAACGGGUGACUCCCGACCCGAAGGGGCCGGGGAAUCCGCAAGGCGCGUCGUGAUGGGGAUUGAACGUUGCAAUUGUUGUUCACGAACGAGGAAUUCCUAGUAGGCGCGGGUCAUCAACCCGCGCCGAUUACGUCCCUGCCCUUUGUACACACCGU
rnacentral:rRNA from 1 species